GCAAUUACAGCAAACCUUCAUGUCUACUUCAUCAAAAGAAAACAGCUUGUAUAAGAACUUCAGUGACCUAGUUCGCAGUAUAUUACCAGCAGAGAGAUUAAACAUCAACCUCAUAUGUGGUAUUAACUCAAUUAUCAGUGUGACACACAAAAAAUAUAUGAACAUUGGGGGUUGUGGGUUCAAAAAUCCCAUCAGGGGAGCCACUGUUUAUGUAGCGGUCAACGCCUGUUGAGCCAGGGUCUGACAAUUUCAUAAUUUUGUUAGAGCUAUUCAGAACACUCCUUUAGAUGUGAGCAUACACCACGUUCAACAGAGCAGUAUACAGGCUGCAAAACACACACACACACACACACACACACACACACACACACACACACACACACACACACACACACACACACACACACACACACACACACACACACACACACACACACACACACACACACACACAAGCCAGAAAAAAAACUCACAAUGCACACAAUCCGAGUCCCUGAGUCAACUUCUCAGUCUCAGUCAAUAUAUACAAGUCUCUAUCCACAAUUUGAUAUGCAGUGGGUCCGUUUUAGGUCACCUAAAAGUCAGUAGGAGUGGUACCUCCUGUCCGGUUUGCAGCUGUGUUGUGUGCGCCGGGGUUACCGGUGUUACCUCCAGUUUCCGGAAGACGGUCAGCAGCAGACUCCGGCGGCGAACGGCGGGAGAGUCGGGACGAGACGUGGAUGUGAGCUGGAUCCGGUGAACGGCAGCGAACCUGGCGUACAACGGACUGAAAGCACGCGGUGCCAGGGGUUGACACGAGCUAGCGACACAGGGACGGUGUAAACCUCCUCUUCGGCGCGACUACCACAGGGUUGCUGUGGCAACACGGCAAGCUCAAAAGCCCCAGCGCCCCGUUUCCAAAGGAAGGUCCUCUGCUCCAGCAACGGGCAGCGACUGUGAGAUGAUGGUGGCUACCAGCCAGGUGUGUGUCCAGGAUCCAGGGUCCGCACCUUCUCGUCUCCUCCCAGUCAGAGAUCCGCAGUUUCUUUUUUUAAGUUUAAAGCUCAAUACUGAGAUCGUAACAAGCCACGGAGGUCCUCACACCAGUGGAACCGGCUACACGGUCCGUCCACCUCCUCCACGUCCUCGUCUCUUCCUGUUCCACACCUCUGCAGGCCAACCGCUGAGGAGCAUCCUUUACGUGACAGCAGGGGAGAUCGGAGGUGUAGAGCACAAGUCACACAGAUGGUCACGUGUGUGUACAUGUUGGAGUACAUAUUCACUUUGUGUAGACGGAUCCUCGAAGGAGCGCAGCUGAGAGUCGAGGGAGACGGGAGAUGACAGCGGUGAAGGGUGAGCAGGAACAAAAAAAAAGAGGUGUGGAAGGAAGAAAGAUGUUUAGUUGAGGAUGAAACAAAGAGGACAAAUGUGAGGGGGAGCGGGCAAAAUCUACAUGAGGUGAGAGACACUCUGAAUACAAAUCACUAAAAAAGACAUGAAGAGAGGCAUUUGUUAUCCGUCUGUAUUGGAUUCACACACGAAAACUUCCUUUCUCAUCAUCAUGUCGGGAGACGACACGAUGGAAAUGUUGUAACCGUUCAUUUCCACCUGCCCAACUCAAUUUCCCUCUGUGCCAAUAAAACGCGCGACCUUUCUUUCCUCUCUUCCCAUCUCCCUCUGCCUUUUCCCUUUCUUUCCUCCAACAUCGUCUCUACUCUGCCAAAACACCAGUGACCUGUCUGCCACAGUCGGUCCGCCCUCACAUCAGCAUCUAAUGCGCCGCACUGGAAGGAAUUCAGCGGGAAUUAUAGUUCCGCCGGACGCUAUUUGCUGUUAUAAUUACAGAGAGAGUCAUUGAGGAGGAUUAAGCCACAGGUCAUCUCAUAUCUGACUGCCAAUUGUCCCUUUUCAAGUAAUCAGGGCCGCAGGACUUUUAGUGCAUCCGCGGGGUUGUCGGAACGAUCGGGGAAAUGAGCUCUCCACCGGGAGAAUUCACGCGAACGCCACCUCGGGUCGGAGCAACAACUCAGGCAGUCGCCAGAGGGUUCGGUGCACGAGUUGCAGAUGUCAUGCACAGAAACAUAAGCAGAGGAACCAGAGUGUUUGGUUGAUGCGUCAAAACUUUUGAAUAAUGGUGUCAAUUAACGUGUUGCAUGUAACUUUUUUUUUCGAAAGUGGUAGUUGUCCCUGUAGAGUGUCCUGGAUUAAUUAGAAAAAUGUAUAUUUAUUAAAACUGAUAUGCCUGUCACGCCUGGCCCCUUUUUCUUUGCUCUUCGUUAUCAUGCAGAUAUGGAAAGUGGUGUUGAGCUGUUGUUCAAACACUCUAAACACGCGACACAUUUUUGUUCACAGCGUCCUUGAUUUUCUCUCAUAAUGAAACCGCUUGCUGUGGAAAAAGAAAAGAAGGCAUAUAAGGUCUUUUUAAAUGAAUGGUCCAACAAGCCUGGUGAGGAUUGUUCGCUCACACAGUGCGAGCAGAGGAAAUGGAUCUUACAUUAAGCAGCUCUGCUGAAAUCAGCGAGCUCGGAAAAAGUACGCAUUGGGCGCUGCCUCAUCUCGUAAAGGUGUCUUGCUUUUGCCAGGUUUUCUUUCUUUUCUUUUUCUUUUACGUCUAAAAGAAACACACAUACACACACACACUCACAGAACCACACACACAUACACACACACACAGAACCACAACACACACACACACACACACACACACACCUUAGUCAUUGUCGAUUCCGAUCGUGUACCUUUCUCGGUGUCUUUGAAGGAAAUCGACGACCAUGUUUCUUCCGCUGCCCAUGUUGACUCACUAGCUGUUUCUCUUUUCGGGUCACAACAUGCCGAGCGUUGUGUUAGCAUUGUGUGAGCACAACCCAGCUGCACACUUCGUACAGACUGAGUCAGUUGUGUUGUGUAAUCCGCACGGGAGUAAAGAAGAACAACCGACAUCUGGAAAUUCAUCCCUCAUGAUUAUUCGUCGACAUUCAGCGGCUGGUAUUCGUAUAUAUAUAUAUAUUUUAAUGUCCAGUGCGUUGGUUAACAUGAGGUUGACAUUUGCAAAUGUUUGUUAAAACGGUAAACCAACAUUGUAAAAAUGAUACCCGUUAAACAUCAGCAUGAUUGCGUUGUAAUUGUUGGUGUGUUAAGCACAGGGAAAAUGUACUUAACGUCACAUGAAAUGUUCAUGAAGUUGGUGCUCUCAUCUUCAUGAAGGAUGCAACAUUGUGAUGAUUGUGAGAAGUCAGAUAGUUUUUUUAUUAUUAUUAUUUUGCAUUCCGUCUAGUCCUUGUCUCAUACUUUACUGCAUGCUAUACCACUAGCAAUUAUCUUAGAAGACUCAGUGGGAUAUCCUCUGUGCAUAUAUAUAUUUCAUAACUACCAAAAGGUAUAGUAAAUCAAAGAUUUCAUGACAAAAAUAUGUUGUUGGAAUUCAGUUUGUCCUGUAUUUGCUUUGGUGGACUAACCGAAUCAGGAAUUUCUGUCAUUUCCUUUCAUAAUUGAUAAUACAUUUUCCAUAAAAUGUAACUAUCUAUCUACCUAUCUAUUAUCAUGUAAAACGAUUUGUUGAUUAUGUUAGGGAGUCAAAUACAAUAUUCCAUGACAUAGGAUUUCUAUACUCCGCUAGCCUGAUCAUACCAUUAAUGUCAAGAUAGGAAAAAGCGGGUAAUUCUAGGAAGAAAUGAAGAGAAACCUUUCAUGGGUCCACUGUGAACUAAUUAUGGGGGAAAAAAUACGGCCAUGAGCACAGAACAUUAUGCUGUAGACUAAAGCUGUCCUCAGUAUGAACGUGAAAAGGUUUGGUUUUACGAGCGGCUCUUCGUCUGCUGUUUGGAGAUACUUUGGUUUAAUGCCAGGCGACACUUCGACUGUGUGCAGUGGUUAGCUCAUUGAAACCAAGAACAGUAAAGUAGUAUCUAUUAUCGCAAAAAGUAGACUACUUUAGUAGUAAGAGAGUAAAAGGAAAAGUAAAAUUGUUGCUGCCACAAUGUCAUGGAGACAGAAAUGACCCCGAUUUGACGCGCUUUUAGUGACACUGACGGGAAAA
ensembl:lncRNA